rnacentral:rRNA from 1 species
AUAUGGUCAAGUGAAGAAGCGCAUACGGUGGAUGCCUUGGCAGUCAGAGGCGAUGAAAGACGUGGUAGCCUGCGAAAAGCUUCGGGGAGUCGGCAAACAGACUUUGAUCCGGAGAUGUCUGAAUGGGGGAACCCACCUAACAUAAGUUAGGUAUCUUAAGCUGAAUACAUAGGCUUAAGAAGCGAACCAGGGGAACUGAAACAUCUAAGUACCCUGAGGAAAAGAAAUCAACCGAGAUUCCCUUAGUAGUGGCGAGCGAACGGGGACUAGCCCUUAAGUGGCUUUGAGAUUAGCGGAACGCUCUGGAAAGUGCGGCCAUAGUGGGUGAUAGCCCUGUACGCGAAAAUCUCUUGGUCAUGAAAUCGAGUAGGACGGAGCACGAGAAACUUUGUCUGAAUAUGGGGGGACCAUCCUCCAAGGCUAAAUACUACUGACUGACCGAUAGUGAACUAGUACCGUGAGGGAAAGGCGAAAAGAACCCCGGAGAGGGGAGUGAAAUAGAUCCUGAAACCGUAUGCGUACAAGCAGUGGGAGCCCACUUUGUUGGGUGACUGCGUACCUUUUGUAUAAUGGGUCAGCGACUUAUUUCAGUGGCGAGCUUAACCGAAUAGGGGAGGCGUAGCGAAAGCGAGUCUUAAUAGGGCGUCUAGUCGCUGGGAAUAGACCCGAAACCGGGCGAUCUAUCCAUGGGCAGGUGAAGGUUGGGUAACACUAACUGGAGGACCGAACCGACUACCGUUGAAAAGUUAGCGGAUGACCUGUGGAUCGGAGUGAAAGGCUAAUCAAGCUCGGAGAUAGCUGGUUCUCCUCGAAAGCUAUUUAGGUAGCGCCUCAUGUAUCACUGUAGGGGGUAGAGCACUGUUUCGGCUAGGGGGUCAUCCCGACUUACCAAACCGAUGCAAACUCCGAAUACCUACAAGUGCCGAGCAUGGGAGACACACGGCGGGUGCUAACGUCCGUCGUGAAAAGGGAAACAACCCAGACCGUCAGCUAAGGUCCCAAAGUUAUGGUUAAGUGGGAAACGAUGUGGGAAGGCUUAGACAGCUAGGAGGUUGGCUUAGAAGCAGCCACCCUUUAAAGAAAGCGUAAUAGCUCACUAGUCGAGUCGGCCUGCGCGGAAGAUGUAACGGGGCUCAAACCAUACACCGAAGCUACGGGUAUCACUUAGGUGAUGCGGUAGAGGAGCGUUCUGUAAGCCUGUGAAGGUGAGUUGAGAAGCUUGCUGGAGGUAUCAGAAGUGCGAAUGCUGACAUGAGUAACGACAAUGGGUGUGAAAAACACCCACGCCGAAAGACCAAGGUUUCCUGCGCAACGUUAAUCGACGCAGGGUUAGUCGGUCCCUAAGGCGAGGCUGAAAAGCGUAGUCGAUGGAAAACAGGUUAAUAUUCCUGUACUUCUGGUUAUUGCGAUGGAGGGACGGAGAAGGCUAGGCCAGCUUGGCGUUGGUUGUCCAAGUUUAAGGUGGUAGGCUGGAAUCUUAGGUAAAUCCGGGAUUCUAAGGCCGAGAGCUGAUGACGAGUGUUCUUUUAGAACACGAAGUGGUUGAUGCCAUGCUUCCAAGAAAAGCUUCUAAGCUUCAGGUAACCAGGAACCGUACCCCAAACCGACACAGGUGGUUGGGUAGAGAAUACCAAGGCGCUUGAGAGAACUCGGGUGAAGGAACUAGGCAAAAUGGCACCGUAACUUCGGGAGAAGGUGCGCCGGUGAGGGUGAAGGACUUGCUCCGUAAGCUCAUGCCGGUCGAAGAUACCAGGCCGCUGCGACUGUUUAUUAAAAACACAGCACUCUGCAAACACGAAAGUGGACGUAUAGGGUGUGACGCCUGCCCGGUGCCGGAAGGUUAAUUGAUGGGGUUAGCUAACGCGAAGCUCUUGAUCGAAGCCCCGGUAAACGGCGGCCGUAACUAUAACGGUCCUAAGGUAGCGAAAUUCCUUGUCGGGUAAGUUCCGACCUGCACGAAUGGCGUAACGAUGGCGGCGCUGUCUCCACCCGAGACUCAGUGAAAUUGAAAUCGCUGUGAAGAUGCAGUGUAUCCGCGGCUAGACGGAAAGACCCGUGAACCUUUACUAUAGCUUUGCACUGGACUUUGAAUUUGCUUGUGUAGGAUAGGUGGGAGGCUUUGAAGCGUGGACGCCAGUUCGCGUGGAGCCAACCUUGAAAUACCACCCUGGCAACUUUGAGGUUCUAACUCAGGUCCGUUAUCCGGAUCGAGGACAGUGUAUGGUGGGUAGUUUGACUGGGGCGGUCUCCUCCUAAAGAGUAACGGAGGAGUACGAAGGUGCGCUCAGACCGGUCGGAAAUCGGUCGUAGAGUAUAAAGGCAAAAGCGCGCUUGACUGCGAGACAGACACGUCGAGCAGGUACGAAAGUAGGUCUUAGUGAUCCGGUGGUUCUGUAUGGAAGGGCCAUCGCUCAACGGAUAAAAGGUACUCCGGGGAACAGGCUGAUACCGCCCAAGAGUUCAUAUCGACGGCGGUGUUUGGCACCUCGAUGUCGGCUCAUCACAUCCUGGGGCUGAAGCCGGUCCCAAGGGUAUGGCUGUUCGCCAUUUAAAGUGGUACGCGAGCUGGGUUUAGAACGUCGUGAGACAGUUCGGUCCCUAUCUGCCGUGGACGUUUGAGAUUUGAGAGGGGCUGCUCCUAG